GUUUUUCACUGGGGGAUCUAAACAAUAAGCGGAGGCGGCGCGAUCUCAACAACGGCGUGGAGGGGCUGAACCACUGUGUUUCUAAGAGAUAUACAGAGAGAAGUAACUCUGAUUGCUCGGAAAGACGAGAGAGCGCGAGAGGGAGGGAGCGGCGGCGAGCUCGUCGGAAGAAUAAAAUUGCCGCACCUGAGAGUGCAGCGACGGUGUCGGGCAGGAGCGGCGGCGGUGUGCAGUGG
rnacentral:misc_RNA from 1 species